AGAUCAAAUGUUAUUCGGCAAAGACGACCCACCGUUUACUACUUUCGACGAAAUUAAUAUAGUUAAGGUUAUAUUAUCAGAGUUCGUUCCUUUCGCACGUUGCCAGUUUGAUCUUAUUGUCUUCUCCUACCCCUUUGGUUUGUUGGUCAAGAGAAUUAUGGCACUGUGGUGUAGGCUGUGUUUGUGUUGUUGCCUUGGGUGGUAAUGUUUAAGCUUUGUGUGAGGGUUAUAAUGUGGACUUAAUGAUAGCACCUUUGGGAUCUUUGUGCCAGCUCUACAUUUGGUGGCAAACCCUUAAGGUUAUAAAGGAUUGAGAGGCUGUAAAGCGCUGCUGCCGUCACCCUCCAAUUGUUGUCUUGUGGUUCUAUUGGUUUAGUUUACUCUCCCAUGGUUGUUGUUGGUUUUGUUCUUUGGGUUUUGG
rnacentral:misc_RNA from 1 species